rnacentral:rRNA from 1 species
UACCAGCUCUCCGAGUGGUGUGGAUGUUUAUUGGGCCUAAAGCAUCCGUAGCUGGCUGGACAAGUCCCCUGUUAAAUCCACCGAUUUAAUCGUUGGUGUGCGGGGGAUACUGUUCGGCUAGGGGACGGGAGAGGCCGACGGCAUUUCCGGGGUAGGGGUGAAAUCCUAUAAUCCCGGGAAGACCACCAGUGGCGAAGGCUGUCGGCUAGAACGCGCCCGACGGUGAGGGAUGAAAGCUGGGGGAGCGAACCGGAUUAGAUACCCGGGUAGUCCCAGCUGUAAACGAUGCAGGCUAGGUGUUUGGGCGGCCACGUGCCGCUCUAGUGCCGCAAGGAAGCUGUUAAGCCUGCCGCCUGGGGAGUACGGCCGCAAGGCUGAAACUUAAAGGAAUUGGCGGGGGAGCACCACAAGGGGUGAAGCUUGCGGUUU